rnacentral:rRNA from 1 species
UACGGAGGGGGCUAGCGUUGUUCGGAAUUACUGGGCGUAAAGCGCGCGUAGGCGGACCUGCAAGUCGGGGGUGAAAGCCCGAGGCUCAACCUCGGAACUGCCUUCGAUACUGCGGGUCUCGAGUCCGGGAGAGGUGAGUGGAAUUCCUAGUGUAGAGGUGAAAUUCGUAGAUAUCGGGAAGAACACCCGUGGCGAAGGCGGCUCUCUGGGACGGUACUGACGCUGAGACGCGAAAGCGUGGGGAGCGAACAGG